UACGUAGGGUGCGAGCGUUGUCCGGAAUUAUUGGGCGUAAAGAGCUCGUAGGCGGUGUGUCACGUCGGCCGUGAAAACCUGCAGCUUAACUGUGGGCGUGCGGUCGAUACGGGGCAUCACUGGAGUUCGGCAGGGGGAGACUGGAAUUCCUGGUGUAGCGGUGAAAUGCGCAGAUAUCAGGAGGAACACCGGUGGCGAAAGGCGGGUCUCUGGGGCCGAUACUGACGCUUGAGGAGCGAAAGCGUGGGGAGCAAACAGG
rnacentral:rRNA from 1 species